UACGUAGGGUCCAAGCGUUAUCCGGAAUUACUGGGCGUAAAGGGCGCGUAGGCGGCGACUCAAGUUAGAUGUGAAAGUCCUGGGCUUAACCUGGGGACUGCAUUUGAUACUGGGUUGCUUGAAUUCGGGAGAGGAUAGCGGAAUUCCCAGUGUAGAGGUGAAAUUCGUAGAUAUUGGGAAGAACACCGGUGGCGAAGGCGGCUAUCUGGACCGACAUUGACGCUGAGGCGCGAAAGCGUGGGGAGCAAACAGG
rnacentral:rRNA from 1 species